rnacentral:rRNA from 1 species
GGGGAAUAUUGGACAAUGGGGGAAACCCUGAUCCAGCAAUGCCGCGUGAGUGAAGAAGGCCUUCGGGUUGUAAAGCUCUUUUAUCUGUGAAGAUUAUGACGGUAACAGAUGAAUAAGCACCGGCUAACUUCGUGCCAGCAGCCGCGGUAAUACGAAGGGUGCUAGCGUUGUUCGGAAUAACUGGGCGUAAAGGGCGUGUAGGUGGUUUUAUGCGUCAGAUGUGAAAGUCCUGGGCUCAACCUGGGGACAGCAUUUGAUACGGUAAAACUAGAGGCUUUGAGAGGGAGAUGGAAUUGUGCGUGUAGAAGUGAAAUUCGUAGAGAUGCACAGGAACACCAGUGGCGAAGGCGAUCUCCUGGCAACAGCCUGACACUAAAGCGCGAAAGCGUGGGGAGCAAAC